GCCGUCCGGUCAUAAGAACAAAGUAGGGUUUAAGACCCUCUCCUUCCAUUCAAUGGGGUGUUCUUAUGGCGUGUAGGGAUGCUACGCGUUCAUCCUUAAUCAGAAAUCAAAAUUUACUUUUCUGCAAAACCCUAGAUCCUGAAACCCUAGGAUUUAUUUACAUGUUUUGUUUAUGAACCCAAGACUUAAUUAAUGAAUUAAGCUUAUGAAAUUAAAUUAGGUCUAAAAUUGAGAAUUUUAGAUCUAAGCCAUUUUCAUAAAAUUGGAUUCAAACUUGGAUAACUCAAUUAGGUCUAGCGAUUGAUCAAAUCGAAUCAAAAAUUGGUUAGGUGGGAUCAUGGAAGCUAAUAAUUGACCAACCUAAUAGGAUUAAGUCUAGG
rnacentral:lncRNA from 1 species